rnacentral:rRNA from 1 species
CACGUAGGGCGCAAGCGUUGUCCGGAAUCAUUGGGCGUAAAGAGCGUGUAGGCGGCCAGAUAAGUCCGCUGUGAAAUCUCGAGGCUCAACUUCGAGCUGUCGGUGGAAACUGUCUGGCUAGAGUCCGGAAGAGGAGAAUGGAAUUCCUGGUGUAGCGGUGAAAUGCGCAGAUAUCAGGAAGAACACCCGUGGCGAAGGCGGUUCUCUGGGACGGUACUGACGCUGAGACGCGAAAGCGUGGGGAGCAAACAGG